rnacentral:rRNA from 1 species
UACGUAGGGUGCGAGCGUUAAUCGGAAUUACUGGGCAUAAAGCGUGCGCAGGCGGCGCGUUAAGACAGGUGUGAAAGCCCCGAGCUUAACUUGGGAAUUGCGCUUGUGACUGGCGAGCUGGAGUGUGGCAGAGGGAGGUGGAAUUCCACGUGUAGCAGUGAAAUGCGUAGAGAUGUGGAGGAACACCGAUGGCGAAGGCAGCCCCCUGGGCCGGAACUGACGCUGAGGAGCGAAAGCGUGGGUAGCAAACAGG